GGGGUAUGGAAAAUCCGUCGACUUUAAAAAUCGUGAGGGUUCAAGUCCCUCUAUCCCCA
rnacentral:tRNA from 1 species